rnacentral:rRNA from 1 species
GGGUCAGUAGGUUGGUCGUGCCACCGGUACGUACUGGUCUAACUGAUUCCUCCUUCCUGAAGAACCGUAAUGCCAUUAAUUUGGUGUUGCGGGGAAACAGGACUGUUACUUUGAGAAAAUUAGAGUGUUUAAAGCAAGCUAACGCUUGAAUACAUUAGCAUGGAAUAAUGAAAUAGGACGAUCGAUCCUAUUUUGUUGGUUUCUAGGAUUGACGUA